rnacentral:rRNA from 1 species
CUGGCUCAGGAUGAACGCUAGCUACAGGCUUAACACAUGCAAGUCGAGGGCAGCAUGAUCAAAGCUUGCUUGAUGAUGGCGACCGGCGCACGGUGAGUAACGCGUAUCCAACCUUCCCUAUAGUAGUGGAUAGCCCGGCGAAAGUCGGAUUAAUACACUAUGUUAUUCAACGAGGACAUCUGAAAUGAAUCAAAAGGUUUACCGCUAUAGGAUGGGGAUGCGUCUGAUUAGAUAGUAGGCGGGGUAACGGCCCACCUAGUCGACGAUCAGUAGGGGUUCUGAGAGGAAGGUCCCCCACAUUGGAACUGAGACACGGUCCAAACUCCUACGGGAGGCAGCAGUGAGGAAUAUUGGUCAAUGGACGGGAGUCUGAACCAGCCAAGUAGCCGUGCAGGAUGACGGCCCUAUGGGUUGUAAACUGCUUUUAUCGGGGGAUAAAGUCACCCACGUGUGGGUGUUUGUAGGUACCCGAUGAAUAAGGACCGGCUAAUUCCGUGCCAGCAGCUGC